GAUGAACGCUGGCGGCGUGCCUAAUACAUGCAAGUCGAGCGAACGGACGAGAAGCUUGCUUCUCUGAUGUUAGCGGCGGACGGGUGAGUAACACGUGGAUAACCUACCUAUAAGACUGGGAUAACUUCGGGAAACCGGAGCUAAUACCGGAUAAUAUUUUGAACCGCAUGGUUCAAAAGUGAAAGACGGUCUUUCUGUCACUUAUAGAUGGAUCCGCGCUGCAUUAGCUAGUUGGUAAGGUAACGGCUUACCAAGGCAACGAUGCAUAGCCGACCUGAGAGCGUGAUCGGCCACACUGGAACUGAGACACGGUCCAGGCUCCUACGGGAGGCAGCAGUAGGGAAUCUUCCGCAAUGGGCGAAAGCCUGACGGAGCAACGCCGCGUGAGUGAUGAAGGUCUUCGGAUCGUAAAACUCUGUUAUUAGGGAAGAACAUAUGUGUAAGUAACUGUGCACAUCUUGACGGUACCUAAUCAGAAAGCCACGGCUAACUACGUG
rnacentral:rRNA from 1 species